AUUGAACGCUGGCGGCAUGCCUUACACAUGCAAGUCGAACGGCAGCACGGGAGCAAUCCUGGUGGCGAGUGGCGAACGGGUGAGUAAAGUAUCGGAACGUGCCCAGUCGUGGGGGAUAACGUAGCGAAAGUUACGCUAAUACCGCACACGAUAUAUGGAUGAAAGCGGGGGAUCGCAAGACCUCGCGCGCUUGGAGCGGCCGAUAUCAGAUUAGGUAGUUGGUGGGGUAAAGGCUCACCAAGCCGACGAUCUGUAGCUGGUCUGAGAGGACGACCAGCCACACUGGGACUGAGACACGGCCCAGACUCCUACGGGAGGCAGCAGUGGGGAAUUUUGGACAAUGGGCGAAAGCCUGAUCCAGCCAUGCCGCGUGCAGGAUGAAGGCCUUCGGGUUGUAAACUGCUUUUGUACGGAACGAAAAGGUUUGGCCUAAUAAGCUGAGCUCAUGACGGUACCGUAAGAAUAAGCACCGGCUAACUACGUGCCAGCCGCCGCAGUAA
rnacentral:rRNA from 1 species